UAACAGGCAAUGCAGCACCAUGCUAUGCGGGUGCACAUUAACACUUCUGAAGCUUGGUCUGUCCAGACUGAAAAUGAGAGUUUUGGGAAGGCUGUCCCUGACAUUUCCCUGUGUGCCAGAUCCUGACUACAUCCUGGUGCUGUCUAUUGGUGUGACUUGUACCAGUGGUUUCUAUUUCAUAACUUAGCAACAUGUACUCUCAGCAUCUCAUGCUCUUUAUGAAGAGGAUUUGUUAGGUCCUGAUAUGCCCGUGAAUUCAAAUGGAAGACAAAUUCUGUGCAACAGAGAUGUAAUGAAAUGAACGAAGCCUCAGCUCAUUCUGCAGACAUACCUUAAAGAGCUGUACAAAACCAUGAAGAGGUUCGAAAGAGAUCUUUCAGAGAGCCCUGGAAGAAAACUGAAUCAAAGAAGUAAUUAUUUUUUUAAAAAGGGAACAGAAGCAUGAGCAAAAGCUCCUAGUGUCCUGAGAGGGUGAACUGCUAAGGACAAGAAAACCAGGGGGAGACCUUGAAGGCAAAAUCAGGAUGGGAAAAAUGCUUUGUCCCUGCAGCAGAAGUGGCCGCACAGAUGGUUUCACCUCUGAGCUAAGAAGCAACCUGAGUGUUGAGGUGGGGAAUUCAGUUCCUGCAAAUGGGCUGGGCAGAGACUUGGAGACUCCUUUGGAAAACACCCUGCCUAAAAUAAUAGCACCAGGGCACAGCCAAGUGCUGACAGAUCAGACGGAGGCAGUCCUGAUGAGGAGGGCACAGUCCCCUCGCAUCCCAGUAGGGCAGUGGGGGAAACCUGGGAGUUACUGGUGCACAUAAACAGCCUGCAGGAGAAGACCAAACCAUGAAUCUGCUCCCACAGCACAGAAACCUUGGAAAGAGUGACUUCAGAUCAGGACUUGGUGCCUUGCUAGAUAUGCCUGUACUUAACACAAGAUACUUGGAUGGAUUCCAGGGCCACUGGCAUGCUUCUAUAAAUCCUCAAGGGACACAUCAUGGGAGUCCUUCCAAGAUCUGACCUUCAGAUAUUGUCAGAGGUGAUGAUACAAGCCAACAUUACUGCCCUUGGAACAUCAUCUUUGGACCACUGUUGGCUUUGCAGCAUCUCAAAACAUUUUCUGGUUUGUUUCCUACCUUUGUGGCAAGUCCUGAGUUUUGCUUGCAGACUUCAGCUUUUAAUGAGUGAAAAUCAGGAUGAAGUUCAUCUAAAGACUUUAACCUUUUCCUAUUACAGCUGCAGUAUUGAAUUAAAUUAAAUAGGGCAAAACUGAUCUCCAGUCAAGUCAGCUAGAGCUUUUCUGUUGAAUCCAUUAGGUUAGUUUUCAUGCAAUACCCCUAAAUUUUAAGGAAAAUGUUUCCUGGGUGCUUACUUUGAGAUUGACUCAUGAUAUAAAAUAUUCAGUCAUGUAGCACAUGAUUCCAUUAAAGCCAUCUGUAACAUCUUCAUGUUAUACUAGGUCUGCAUAGUUAAGAAUGAAGAAAACUGAAUUUCAGAUAAUGAUUCCAGAGAAAGCAAGCUACCCUACUGACUUCAGUAGGGUCACGCUUUCACCUAGUAUAGUCUUGUCAGUCCAAGAUCAUGACCUGCAUAUGGAGGGUGUCUACAGUUUUAGUGUAUAAGAAGGAUUUUUACUUUUAUUUAUUACAUUAUUUGGGCAAAGAUUUAACUUCCAAUUGGCAUAAACAAGUUAUCAGAAGUCAGAAAUCCCUUUAACUUUAAUGGAGCCAUACUGAUUUUCACUGCCCGGACACCUGACUUACAGCGUAUGUUUGUUAUAUUAUUUUGUUUACUAUUAGUUUAUUGACCAAUUCAGCGCUUGCAUCAUCCCAGGCAUGUAUAUGUGGUUGGUCUGAAAGAACAAUGGGGACAAAAAAACAUGCUUAUGCCAAAGAAACAUCAAAAGUAAUAUCAAUAAGCUACUUCAAAUGUGAAAGGGCAGGAUCACGAGGGACUGAAUAAUCGCACUGGUGUGCCUAUGUGUGGAUGGUUGAGUGGGGAGAUUGCUUGCUCCCUUCCCCUUAGUGACACAGGACAAAGACACACCUUGCUUAGUGUCAGGUGAAAGCUGCAGAAAAAGUCUGGACAAUUAUGGAGCUCCAGUACUUGGGCAGGUGUGUCCUGGAUUUUUAGAGCUGCCAGAGAGGACAUUUGUCUUCUUGAAGUGUAAAAUGACAAAUGGUGAUUAAUUUGCUGAUGUUGGUAAAUAUUUGUGGAGGGCACCGGGGCUAUUUGUAGCUUGUGAACCACUGAUGAGCUACCUCCUGAAGGACAUUUAUAGCCCUGUUGCAUGUGAGACUGCAUUUAGUCACAUCGGUUUCACAAUUUAAAUCUUCAUGCUUGGGACUGACAAUAGCAUUUUUCUAAUAUUUUCUUGAUACAGGGACUGAUGACUCCAUGGCUUAUAAUUGACCAAAUGCAUGUUCCCCACAGUAAGGUAGGGACUGGAACAAAUGUAGCAGUUGAGCCAAAUAAUAAAAGCAGAAAAAGUGGGAGCCAACUUUCCUUCUGUUACUGUGACGUUUAGAAUGCAGUUGUCAGAUAGACUUUUUCCAUUCAAAGUAUAUUUAGAAAUGGACAAGGUAGUUUAGUUUUUCGUGAGUAACUUCAGUACGUCAGUUAGCUUUGAUGUAUUGCUCAGCGAGGUGGAAAGACGUAUGCUCUAGUCUAACAUCCGUGCCCUCCAGGUGGGCACUGUGCUGCCUGUGCUCCAGCCUCUGCUGGUAAAGCUCUGGUUUUGUUUGCCUCACCCAAGGGGAAAAGGAGACAUAACUUUUCAUUUUCUCAGAUAAGGCUCACUGGGGAGACACUAUUCAGAUUACAAAAAUUAUGAUUUCAACCAUAGACAGAAUAUGCGUUGUAGAUGUUAUGGCCAUUUGAGCUGAAGGGAAACUAUUUCUGCAGUGUGUGAAGACCUGGGAUUUGGGCACAGGUGACCAUGGGAACAUACUGAAUAAAGGUGCUUGAAGACGCUUCUGAGGGCAACUCUGUUUCUUUCUCCACUCCUAUCCCUUACUGUUCCUUGGAGCUCAAAGUUCAUGUCCACACUGAGUGUUUAGUAAACAAGACCAUGUUGUGUUUCCAUUAGUAGAGCUGCAGUCUCCUAAAAGGAGCCAUACACUUACAGAAGGAGAGAGAGAAAAAAAGAAAAAGAAGGGAGGGAGGAAGGAAGGAAAGAAAAAGGAAGGGAGGAAGGAAGGAAGAAAGGAAGAAAGAUGAAAGAUAGCAUUCAUAUGCCAGUGUGGCAACCGAAGAGGUAAAUGAAUUAAAUACGGAGAGAGUGAGAAGAGAGGAAGGUCACUGUCCCAAGGGACAAUGCCAGAUGGCUGCAAGCACAAAUUAAGAGUUCUGCAGAUAGGAAUUUUACUCUCACCCUUUGAUUCUUUUAGCAUAAUUUGCACUGCAGUUUAUUUUCAUGGCUGUUGGGAGGUUGGUAAAAGGCCAGAUUGCUCUAAAGGGAAAAUAUUUUAAUGUGUACAUACAGUGGGAUAUUCAGAGAUAUUUACAUUAAACCUACUCAGAUCAGUUAUGUCAACUGGGAUGACAACAACAACAAAUCCACCUGAGGGUCUCUUAUAGUUGAUAUAUAAAAAUACCCUUUCUCUUUCCCUGCAUAAAUAUAAAGCAUAUGACUAGAUUUCCUGGAUGUCAGACACCUCUUAUGCUUACCCAUAUUUCUGUGCUGAAUCAGAAAUUUCCGUGGUGAAGUGAGGACAAUUUGGCUUUGAAUAAGGAGAGGAAGAGUCAGUUCUCGUUAUCUGGGUCAAGCUCUUUCAGAAAUAAUCAUAGAAUCAUAGAAUAUCCCGA